CCUCAAGUUUCUGUACUGAAAGAGCCAAGAAAUACAAAUUAUAAACAACAACCACCUAAUGGGAUCACUAACGACACAUCAGACAGAAUCUUCGCAAGGUAAAGUCUUAAUACACUUCUGUUAAUUCAACAAUCACUAACCAUAGAAAAAUUAGCUCACAACGAAGACACGGCACAGUUAACACACAUCAGAUAGAAUCUUCGCAAGGUAAAGUCUUAAUACACUUCUGUUAAUUCAACAAUCACUAACCACAGAAAAAUUAGCUCACAACAAAGACACGGCACAGUUAACGGAGAAAGUUCUGGAGCAGUAUCAGGAUCAAAUUCAAAGAUAGCCUAUUGAUAUCAAUCAGCGUGAAAAUUGGAUGUUUGAAAAUGAAUUGAAUGCACACAACUGGAUUCUCAAGAGUUGGUAUAUGAAAUGAAGACAAAUAGACAAUCCACAACUAAUGCACCAGCUGUUGUGAAAGCUAAAUUACCAGCUGAUGCUUCGGGCAAUCUGUUAUAGAAAAAGGUCUUGUGAUUGUUGGUGUUCCGACAGGCCCUGAUGUUGGACAAAACUCUAAGGAAGUUGGGCAUCAAAAAACAGUAAUUGAUUGUUCCAGUAAUUGAUUGUUCCAUUGCUGAUCCACAAUCAACCCUGUUGAACCCACCAGUAGUUGAUCUAGGGGAAAAUUUUGAUCAGCUAAUAAUCUGUCUAUUCUGAAUGUAGUUAGAUGCUUUAUUGUCUGAAGUAUUUUCUGCUUAUAAUAGGAUGUUUUUCUUUGUCAUUAUGGGCAAAAAUCUUGAACAGUGGAGCAAACAAGUUGCUGAGUACUAAAUUAUUUCCUUUGUGAUGAUUGCAGUUUCAUGCUAUGCUGAAGGAACUGAUUCACAAGGCAAUUAGUGAGACUGCGGCAAGUUCCCUUCUUUUUCUAAUUACUGUUCCGAGCUUAUGAUACAUAAUUGCUGUGAACGUCUCAUUAUAAUACUCCAUUAUUUUGGUGUGUUAAAGGGUCCAACAACUGGACACGUGCUUCUAUGUGCAGGAGCUAAAGCAGUAUCCAUCCCUAC
rnacentral:lncRNA from 1 species